UACUCCUCCCUAUUUGUAUGACACACCACACAUAGAGGAGAGAAGAGAUGAGAGCAUAGCAGAGCAGGGCAAAAUCCUAGCUACUCCCUAUCCUGUAAGAUUCGCUCCUCGCCGAUGUCAGCCAUGUCGUCCUUUGACUUUCAGACGCCUCUGACACGUGAUAACCCUUGCUUGUACAUGCUCUCUCUCUCUCUCUCUCUCUCUCUCUCUCUCUCUCUCUCUCUCUCCAUUGCUCACUGCACUCGACCGUCUAUAUGUUGAUGCUCCCCCCUCUUCGCACAUAUUACUAUUUAACAAGAUUUCAUGCAGGCCUAACUGGUCAGCUUUACCACCUGAAGUGCUCAAGCAUCUCGCCUGCCUAGGGACAAGGUACGGUCAUGUCCGGUAUUGCGCAGUGUGCAAGCAGUGGAGGAACGCCCUCCCACCCCUAGGGGACGUCAAUGACAACUUCCCUACCGAUCCAUGUGUGAUUUGGGGCUAGCUGGCUAACUAGAACAUAUGUAUUGGAAAUCUGUAUCUUUUUAUGUUCUGUUGUUUCAUUCCUUUCACCUUAAGUAGUGGGCAGAGUACUCUGCAUGACUUGCAUUGUAUGAAGUAGCUGGUACUUGGUAG
rnacentral:lncRNA from 1 species